AGAGUUUGAUCAUGGCUCAGAUUGAACGCUGGCGGCAUGCCUUUACACAUGCAAGUCGAACGGCAGCACGGAGCUUGCUCUGGUGGCGAGUGGCGAACGGGUGAGUAAUAUAUCGGAACGUACCCAAGAGUGGGGGAUAACGUAGCGAAAGUUACGCUAAUACCGCAUACGAUCUAUGGAUGAAAGCAGGGGACCUUCGGGCCUUGUGCUCCUGGAGCGGCCGAUAUCUGGUUAGCUAGUUGGUGGGGUAAAGGCCCACCAAGGCAACGAUCAGUAGCUGGUCUGAGAGGACGACCAGCCACACUGGAACUGAGACACGGUCCAGACUCCUACGGGAGGCAGCAGUGGGGAAUUUUGGACAAUGGGGGCAACCCUGAUCCAGCAAUGCCGCGUGAGUGAAGAAGGCCUUCGGGUUGUAAAGCUCUUUUGUCAGGGAAGAAAAGGCUGUGGCUAAUAUCCACGGCUCAUGACGGUACCUGAAGAAUAAGCACCGGCUAACUACGUGCCAGCAGCCGCGGUAAUACGUAGGGUGCAAGCGUUAAUCGGAAUUACUGGGCGUAAAGCGUGCGCAGGCGGUUUUGUAAGACUGUCGUGAAAUCCCCGGGCUCAACCUGGGAAUGGCGAUGGCGACUGCAAGGCUAGAGUUUGGCAGAAGGGGGUAGAAUUCCACGUGUAGCAGUGAAAUGCGUAGAUAUGUGGAGGAACACCGAUGGCGAAGGCAGCCCCCUGGGUCAAAACUGACGCUCAUGCACGAAAGCGUGGGGAGCAAACAGGAUUAGAUACCCUGGUAGUCCACGCCCUAAACGAUGUCUACUAGUUGUCGGGUCUUAAUUGACUUGGUAACGCAGCUAACGCGAGAAGUAGACCGCCUGGGGAGUACGGUCGCAAGAUUAAAACUCAAAGGAAUUGACGG
rnacentral:rRNA from 1 species